UACGGAGGGUGCAAGCGUUGUUCGGAAUUACUGGGCGUAAAGCACGCGUAGGCGGCUUGGUAAGUUGGGAGUGAAAUCCCGGGGCUUAACUCCGGAAUUGCUUUCAAAACUAUCAAGCUAGAGUAUGGCAGGGGACAGUGGAAUUCCUAGUGUAGAGGUGAAAUUCGUAGAUAUUAGGAGGAACACCAGUGGCGAAAGCGACUGUCUGGACCAUUACUGACGCUGAGGCGUGAAAGCGUGGGGAGCAAACAGG
rnacentral:rRNA from 1 species